UAAGACGAACCGUGCGAACGUUGUUCGGAUUCACUGGGCUUAAAGGGCGCGUAGGCGGCUUGCCAAGUCGGGGGUGAAAUCUUUCGGCCCAACCGGAAAAUAGCUUUCGAUACUGGCAGGCUCGAGGGAGGUAGGGGCACGCGGAACUUCCGGUGGAGCGGUGAAAUGCGUAGAUAUCGGAAGGAACGCCGGUGGCGAAAGCGGCGUGCUGGAUCUCCACUGACGCUGAGGCGCGAAAGCCAGGGGAGCAAACGGGAUUAGAUACCCCGGUAGUCCUGGCCCUAAACGAUGGGUACUAGGUAGUGGGCUUGCAUGGGCUCACUGCCGAAGCAAAAGUAUUAAGUACCCCGCCUGGGGAGUAUGGUCGCAAGGCUG
rnacentral:rRNA from 1 species